AGUGUGUGACACUGCUGCUCA
rnacentral:misc_RNA from 1 species